UAACACCACUAUAUCACGAUACUGGAGAACCACUAUAUCACGAUACUGGAGAACCACUAUAUCACGAUACUGGAGAUAAUGAACAGGGUGAGGUAACACCACUAUAUCACGAUACUGGAGAUAAUGAACAGGGUGAGGUAACACCACUAUAUCACGAUACUGGAGAUAAUGAACAGGGUGAGGUAACACCACUAUAUCACGAUACUGGAGAUAAUGAACAGGGUGCGGUAACACCACUAUAUCACGAUACUGGAGAUAAUGAACAGCUCAGGGUGAGAACACCACUAUAUCACGAUACUGGAGAUAAUGAACAGCUCAGGGUGAGGUAACACCACUAUAUCACGAUACUGGAGAUAAUGAACAGCUCAGGGUGAGGUAACACCACUAUAUCAUGAACAGCUCAGGGUGAGGUAACACCACUAUAUCAAAGCUCAGUUCAUUAUAUCUUGUCUGUGUUUAUAAUAUGAUGUUUAAUAUCUUGUCUGUGUUUAUAAUAUAAUGGUUAAUAUCUUGUCUGUGUUUAUAAUAUAAUGGUUAAUAUCUUCCCUGUGUUUCC